rnacentral:piRNA from 1 species
UACCAGGAUGGGACUUGUCUAGCAUUCU